GGUUCUUAGAAAUAAUUAAGAAUCAAGCCUGCUCAAUGCCAGUGUAAAUAGCCGCGGUAUUUUGACCGUGCAAAGGUAGCAUAAUCAUUAGUUUUUUAAUUGGGGACUAGAAUGAAGGGUUAGACUAAAUAUUUGUGUCUUAUAGUUAUAUUUUAAAUUUUAUAUUUUAGUAAAAAAGCUAAAAUUUUUUUCAGGGACGAGAAGACCCUAUCGAGCUUUACAAAUCAAUCUAUCUAUCUUGGGGCAGAGAAAGUUUGUUUUACUGGGGCAGUAAGUAAAUUAGUUUUAUUUUUAUAUUGUGAAUUUAAUUCUUGUUAAAUCGAAAAGUUUUUAAAGAAGAAUAAGUUACCGUAGGGAUAACAGCAUAAUUUUUUUUUAGAGAACAUAUUAACAAAAAAGUUUGUGACCUCGAUGUUGGAUUAAGAGACCUACUUUAUGCAUCGGUAAGGUAAGGAAGUCUGUUCGACUUAUAAUUUCUUCCA
rnacentral:rRNA from 1 species